AUGCAGCUGACGAGUCCCAAAUAGGACGAAACGCGCGUUCUGGAU
rnacentral:hammerhead_ribozyme from 1 species